UCCAGACUCCUACGGGAGGCAGCAGUGGGGAAUAUUGGGCAAUGGGCGCAAGCCUGACCCAGCAACGCCGCGUGAAGGAAGAAGGCUUUCGGGUUGUAAACUUCUUUUAAGGGGGAAGAGCAGAAGACGGUACCCCUUGAAUAAGCCACGGCUAACUACGUGCCAGCAGCCGCGGUAAUACGUAGGUGGCAAGCGUUGUCCGGAUUUACUGGGUGUAAAGGGCGUGCAGCCGGGACUGCAAGUCAGAUGUGAAAUCCGCGGGCUUAACCCGCGAACUGCAUUUGAAACUGCGGAUCUUGAGUACCGGAGAGGUUAUCGGAAUUCCUUGUGUAGCGGUGAAAUGCGUAGAUAUAAGGAAGAACACCAGUGGCGAAGGCGGAUUACUGGACGAUAACUGACGGUGAGGCGCGAAAGCGUGGGGAGCAAACAGGAUUAGAUACCCCAGUAC
rnacentral:rRNA from 1 species